GGCUUGUCCAUUGAUCGGGCUCCCAUAAUAACAGCUGGCUAGCUUCCACGCUAACCAUAAAACCACAGGAGGACAAAGCUGAUGUUAUAAACCUGGAUUGCUGGGUGAAGACUGAAGAGAGCAACACGUCUAAUCUCUACAGUAUUCUACAUAGAAAGACUUCCAUAUGAGAAACUACCUGUCACUCUGAACCUAAUGUUUAUCUUAUUAAAAAAUCAAACUCUUAAUAGACAAAGUAAAGCAGCGUUUCAAUAAAGUGCAAUGGCGCAUUACUUUUUCUGUUCCCUCCUUUUGAUGUGUAGCGCAUUAUUUUCUUCUUUUUAAGUCCUCCCAUAGCGCCAUCUCCCCUCAGCCCAUCACAGUCUCGAAACUCCUCCCUCUUCUCCGCCUCCGGACAGCACCAUCGCGGAGGCGCAGCCCUUUCCUCUCCCUUCGUCCUCCACGGCUCCACAUACUCCCUCCCCAGCAGCACGCCAUCUCCUCCACGCACAGCAGCAGCACGCACCAGCAGUCGCCGAUCCGUCGGGUCGUCGUCCACGUAUCAGCAGCCCCGUGUCGCCCUCCGUGCAGCGCAGUCCAGCCGCCGUGUCGUCCGCGACGCAGGUGGUCAAUAUUAUUGUCCUUCAUCUCUUUUUGACCCUGAUCGUGGAGAAUUGAAAGUUUUUGUCCUUGUCUCAAAGAUUCCAAAUUUAUUUUUGGGUGUAGUUGAAGAGGAAAGAAGAAUUAAAAGGUAAUAUAUCUGUUGGGGGUCUCAUUUCUCACCAGUCGUUACUCGUUACGUUGAAGUAAAAUAUCUGGUUUUUUUCAGUUCUAAGAUCAGGUUCUAAUACCAUUUUGUUCCUUUGGUAUCUGUCUAUCUGAACCAGUUAUCUUAUUAGAAUUUUAAUUAUUCUUCAUUUAAACAUUAGUAUAUUUCCUUUCCUCAAUUACAAAUAUUAUAAUGUUUGUUCUCUUUACUUAAUAAGCAUAACGAUCAAGUGCAUCAGCAAUGAGUUUUAAUAACAAUCAUUGAAUACCA